rnacentral:rRNA from 1 species
GUGGGGAAUAUUGGACAAUGGGCGAAAGCCUGAUCCAGCCAUGCCGCGUGUGUGAAGAAGGUCUUCGGAUUGUAAAGCACUUUAAGUUGGGAGGAAGGGCAGUAAGUUAAUACCUUGCUGUUUUGACGUUACCGACAGAAUAAGCACCGGCUAACUUCGUGCCAGCAGCCGCGGUAAUACGAAGGGUGCAAGCGUUAAUCGGAAUUACUGGGCGUAAAGCGCGCGUAGGGGGUUUUGUAAGUUGGAGGUGAAAUCCCCGGGCUCAACCUGGGAACUGCCUCCAAAACUGCAUGACUAGAGUACGGUAGAGGGUAGUGGAAUUUCCUGUGUAGCGGUGAAAUGCGUAGAUAUAGGAAGGAACACCAGUGGCGAAGGCGACUACCUGGACUGAUACUGACACUGAGGUGCGAAAGCGUGGGGAGCAAACAGGAUUAGAAACCCUUGUAGUCC